GUGAGGAAUAUUGGUCAAUGGGCGAGAGCCUGAACCAGCCAAGUAGCGUGAGGGAUGACUGCCCUAUGGGUUGUAAACCUCUUUUGCAGGGGGGUAAAGUGGUUCACGUGUGGACCAUUGCAAGUACCCUGCGAAUAAGGAUCGGCUAACUCCGUGCCAGCAGCCGCGGUAAUACGGAGGAUCCGAGCGUUAUCCGGAUUUAUUGGGUUUAAAGGGAGCGUAGGCGGGGGUGUAAGUCAGCUGGGAAAUGCCGUGGCCCCACCAUGGAACUGCAGUUGAAACUGGACCUCUUGAGAGUACAUAAGGAAGGCGGAAUUCGUGGUGUAGCGGUGAAAUGCAUAGAUAUCACGAAGAACUCCGAUUGCGAAGGCAGCUUUCCGGGGUACAUCUGACGCUGAAGCUCGAAAGUGCGGGAAUCAAACAGGAUUAGAUACCCCUGUAGUCC
rnacentral:rRNA from 1 species